rnacentral:rRNA from 1 species
AACAAGUUAGAUUAGCAUGCAUGUCUAAGCACAAGCCUAAGAAUGGUAAAGCCGCGAAUGGCUCAUUACAACAGCCAUAGUUUACUGGAUCUUACUUUCCUACUUGGAUAACUGUGGUAAUUCUAGAGCUAAUACACGCAUGAAAGCUCUGACCGUUCGGGAGGAGCGCAUUUAUUAGAACAAAACCAAUCGGGCCUUCGGGCCCGCCAGUUGGUGAAUCUGAAUAACUUUGCAGAUCGCACGGUCUCGUACCGGCGACGUAUCUUUCAAAUGUCUGCCUUAUCAACUUUAGAUGGUAGUUUACACGCCUACCAUGGUUGUAACGGGUAACGGAGAAUAAGGGUUCGACUCCGGAGAGGGAGCCUGAGAAAUGGCUACCACAUCCAAGGAAGGCAGCAGGCACGCAAAUUACCCACUCCCGGCACGGGGAGGUAGUGACGAAAAAUAACGAGGCGGUUCUCUACGAGGCCCGCCAUCGGAAUGGGUACAAUUUAAAUCCUUUAACGAGGAUCUAUUGGAGGC